rnacentral:misc_RNA from 1 species
ACAUUUUUUUGUCGUUCGGGCAGCCGAAAUGUUGGCGAAGUCCGUGCGUUGGUGCGCGGCUGAAUGCCCCGUUGCUAUCGCUCGGAUUUCUGCCGGCUCUCACGGAUGCGGUGCCUAGUGCUAGCUCUGCGGGGCUCUGCCCCGCAGGCUUCGGGAGGUCCCUCGCGCGGAUCAUUGCUUUUAUACGCCGUCUGUCGUGUUGCCGGUGGCGACGCGCAGAUCGUGUUCUGUCGCGCCGUCGUUGGCGACGCGGCAGAACAGUGUGUCCGGAGCGUGCUCGCGUGCGUGCGGAAUGCCUCUCCGUUAGUAUCAGCAGCGAUUUCCGGUCCGCGUCGUGCGAAGGACCGCCCGUCCCGGUUGGCGCCGGGGCUGACGCGCC